GACGAACGCUGGCGGCGCGCUUAACACAUGCAAGUCGAACGGAAAGGCCUGCUUUCCCUUGUGGAUUGCGGGUACUCGAGUGGCGAACGGGUGAGUAACACGUGAGUGAUCUGCCCCCAACUUGGGUAUAAGCCUGGGAAACUGGGUCUAAUUCCCGAUAGGACUGCAGGGUAGUGCCUGUGGUGGAAAACGAUUUUCUAGUGGUUGGGGAUGAGCUCGCGGCCUAUCAGCUUGUUGGUGGGGUAAUGGCCUACCAAGGCGGCGACGGGUAGCCGGCCUGAGAGGGUGGACGGCCGCAUUGGGACUGGGAUACGGCCCAGACUCCUACGGGAGGCAGCAGUGGGGAAUAUUGCACAAUGGGCGGAAGCCUGAUGCAGCGACGCCGCGUGGGGGAUGACGGCCUUCGGGUUGUAAACUCCUUUCGACCGCGAGGAAGCCACCUGGUUGGAAGGGUGGUGACGGUAGUGGUAGAAGAAGCACCGGCUAACUACGUG
rnacentral:rRNA from 1 species